rfam:Myotis davidii contig190530, whole genome shotgun sequence.
GGCCAGGUAGCUCAGUUGGUUAGAGCAUCGUCCUGAUAUGCUGAAAUUGCAGGUUCAAUUCCCAGUCUGGCCA